rnacentral:rRNA from 1 species
UCCGUAGGUGAACCUGCGGAAGGAUCAUUAAUGGAUUGUAAUGGGGGUUGAUGCUGGUGGCCAUUUCUUUGGCUGCAUUGUGCUCACUUCUAGCAAUUAUUUGUCCAAACACUUGUGCACCUUUCGAGGGUUUUCCAAUCUUGGAUUUCCCUCUCACAUACACUCAUUUAUAAUAUUGAACGUGUUUGUGCCAUGCAGUGGCCAUAAUAUAUAAUACAACUUUUAACAACGGAUCUCUUGGCUCUCGCAUCGAUGAAGAACGCAGCGAAAUGCGAUAAGUAAUGUGAAUUGCAGAAUUCAGUGAAUCAUCGAAUCUUUGAACGCACCUUGCGCUCCCCGGUAUUCCAGGGAGCACACCUGUUCGAGUGUCGUGAAAUUCUCAAGCUGGAUGAUUUUUUCAUCUCAGUUUGGUUUUGGGCUUUGCCGUGACCCCCUUCAUUGGGACGGCUGGCCUUAAAAAUAUUAGCUGACUCUCAUGUGAGAUUGGUUCUACUCAGCGUGAUAGCUCUGACCGCUGAGGACAUCUUUUAUUGGAUGGCCGAGCUCUAUGUUGGGUUGCUUCUAAUCCUGGUUUUUACAGAUUUUCGGAUCUGUUUUCCACUCACGAUUUUGGCCUCGAAUCAGGUGGGACUACCCACUGAACUUAAGCAUAUCAAUAAGCGGAGGA